rnacentral:pre_miRNA from 9 species
UCUCGAUAGCGUAAAAGUUAACUAAAAUUUGUAUGUAGUUGGAAUUUUUGCCUACGUUUGCCGCUAGGGGCGCUGUUUCAACUACAUACUUUUAGUUAACUUUUACGCUAUCGA